CGACAAAAUAGGAUAAAUAUAUUAUAUGAACAAGUAAUAAAAUGCUUUUUAUUAUUGAUAAUUGUAGCAUUUGUUGCUCCCCCAAAGUGCACCUGAUUAUUUUCACUAGAUUACGGACGAAAUAAUUUCUAUUGAGGCAGAUUACAGAGGAAUACGUAUAUCAGUCACACAGGCCCCCGUACACCUCACCAGAUGAUAAGGCUUCUGGGUCGCCGUCCACGUCCCUCAACCUUUGGCAGUCCUUGGAUGCGAACAAAGGAACCCCUUGGUCUAGUGUAGAUAAAACUAACCUAUAGGCCAUGCAAAUACGCACAGUAGAACUUUAUCGAAAUAAACUGCCUGAACCACUUAACUUAA